rnacentral:RNase_P_RNA from 1 species
GCAGAAAGUUGUUCUGUCGCUCAGGAAACUGAGAGGAAAGUCCGGGCAACAUAGAGCGUCGAACUCUCGAAAGGAGAGAUGUCUGUGAGGGUAUAGAAGCAAAGAAGAAAAUAACCGCUCUGCAAGCAGAGUAAGGGUGAGAAGGUGAGGUAAGAGCUCACCAGUGCAGUGGGCAACCAUUGCUGCUGUUUGCCUUUCGAGUUGAAAGACCAUGUAUAUUUGCGUUUGAGGGUCGCUCGCCCGAUGCAAAGGGGUAGGUCGAAAAGACAAAUGACAGAAGCUACUAUAGUAGUACAGAACUCGGCUUAUAAACUUUCUGCUUUA